GCCUGGGUGGCUUAGUCAGUUGAGUGCCCGACUUCAGCUCAGGUCAUGAUCUCAUGGUUGGUGGGUUCGAGCCCCACGUCGGGCU
rnacentral:tRNA from 1 species